GGACGUAUUCGGGUUUAGGUGAACCUGUAUAUCCGGAACCUGAACCAGGAUAUCCUUAUUUUAAUAUUAAUUUUUUAAUAAUUUUUAGUAUAAAUAUAAAAGAAAGAAAGGGAAAGAAGAGCCCUUGCACAGCCGGCCCUAGUUUGCAAUUCACAUUUUCCUCUUCUCAAAUCUCACAUCCGCGGGCUGCUAAUCAUAUUUCCUCUAUUCUUCAUCAAAUCAAAUCAUCAUCGUCAUCGCUUCAGCCAUUUCCUCUUCUCUACGUUCAUUAUCAACAUCAUUAGCCGCUGUGUUCAUCAUCAUCAGUCGCUCGGUUCCUCUUCUCUGCGUUGUCGCGACAUCUAACCCUUCUCAAUCGUUCAACUGCUGCAAAAUUGAGUGGACUAGCUUCCACCUCUAAGCCCACCUCUGCUUUUCUCUUGUCAUCUCUUCAUAAACUUUCUCUCUCUCCAUAGUUCUUGCGGAGAUGGUGUGGGGGUUGCCUUUGAUGCCAUUGCAUGGUGGAUCUGGGUGGGCCACUGUCUUUGAUGCCAUUACAAUUCAAAAUUAACUGUAAUUUUCAUGCAUCCACUUCCUAUAUUAAUUUAAUCUUAACGUUUUUGGCAGUAAUUGCAGCAUCUCUAUAUCUCCAUAAGCUUCUAUCAUGUGGACUUGACAAAAUAUCAUCAACUAAGAAAAAAAUGUUUCAUCUGGUUUAAUUUGUGAUUAAAGUGUAGUGUCCAACUUCAUAAAGAGAUGGCAAAUUUUUUUUUCAAAUCAUAAUUCAUAAAGCAAUUCGGGUUUCAAAAUUCAGAAUUCGGAAACCCGGUUUUUUUCGGGUUGACCCAUUCCGGACCCGUAUACAGGAAAACCAGGUUUAUAUCCGGGUCCAGUACAAGAAAAUAGCAUCUGGGUUCGAAACAGAAAAUGCUAAACCCGAACCUAGACCCAG
rnacentral:lncRNA from 1 species